ACGAACGCUGGCGGCAGGCUUGACACAUGCAAGUCGAGCGAGACCUUCGGGUCUAGCGGCGGACGGGUGAGUAACGCGUGGGAACGUGCCCUUCUCUACGGAAUAGCCCCGGGAAACUGGGAGUAAUACCGUAUACGCCCUUUGGGGGAAAGAUUUAUCGGAGAAGGAUCGGCCCGCGUUGGAUUAGGUAGUUGGUGGGGUAAUGGCCCACCAAGCCGACGAUCCAUAGCUGGUUUGAGAGGAUGAUCAGCCACACUGGGACUGAGACACGGCCCAGACUCCUACGGGAGGCAGCAGUGGGGAAUCUUAGACAAUGGGGGCAACCCUGAUCUAGCCAUGCCGCGUGAGUGAUGAAGGCCUUAGGGUUGUAAAGCUCUUUCAGCUGGGAAGAUAAUGACGGUACCAGCAGAAGAAGCCCCGGCUAACUCCGUG
rnacentral:rRNA from 1 species